rnacentral:rRNA from 1 species
CACACCAAAAACAACUUUCCACGUGAACUGUCUUACGAGAUUCGCGCCGUGACGCGUGUUGACGCUGUGUGUGUUGUGUCUUCUUUCGAGAGGAUAUUGUGAUGCAAACAGUGUUGACCGUGUGGGUCGGCUGAUCGAAGGUCGCUUUGUGCAUUAUUGUAUGGAGCGGCUGACUUAUUCUUUCAAACCCAUUACACAAUACUACUGAUUCAUACUGUGAGGACGAAAGUCUUUGCUUUUACUAGAUAACAACUUUCAGCAGUGGAUGUCUAGGCUCGCACAUCGAUGAAGAACGCUGCGAACUGCGAUACGUAAUGCGAAUUGCAGAAUUCAGUGAGUCAUCGAAAUUUUGAACGCAUAUUGCACUUUCGGGUUAUGCCUGGAAGUAUGUCUGUAUCAGUGUCCGUAAAUCAACCUUGCCUCUCUUUGUCGGUGUAGUCCGGCUUGGAGUGUGCAGAUGUGAAGUGUCUCGCGCUACGUCAGUUUGAUGCUAUGCAAUAAGACUAGGCGCGCGAGUCCUUUGAAAACGACACGAUCUUUCUAUUGCUUUCUGUGGAGCGCGACAAUUGAACGCGGCGGUCUUGGGAUCGCCUGCAGUCGAUAGCGACUUUGGCAGAGACAUAUGGAGGAUACCUCAUUUCGCGGUACGUUAGGCUUCGGCUCGACAAUGUUGCGUAGUGUGUGUGUUUUUCCGUCUUUGCUUUGAGGUGUACUGUUGAUUGUGGGCUUGAACCUGGGUUCUGUGUGUUAGUAGAGUGUGGCUGUCUCUGUGGUUUGCGUCUGCGUGCUAUUUCGGUCCGCACGUAGGUAGGAGGGUUCCAUUUGGGAAACAUUGUCUGCGCACUGGAAAGUGUGUGUGUAUAACACUUGGACCUGAUAUCAGACAAGACUACCCGCU